CGGAGGGUGCCAGCGUUACUCGGAAUCACUGGGCGUAAAGGACGCGUAGGCUGUUUAGCAAGUCAGAUGUGAAAUCCAACGGCUCGACCAUUGAACUGCAUUUGAAACUGCUAGACUAGAGUAUGGGAGGGGGAGAUGGAAUUAGUGGUGUAGGGGUAAAAUCCGUAGAUAUCACUAGGAAUACCUAAAGCGAAGGCGAUCUCCUGGAACAUUACUGACGCUAAGGCGUGAAAGCGUGGGGAGCAAACAGGAUUAGAUACCCUGGUAGUCCACGCCCUAAACGAUGAACACUAGUCGUCGCGAUGCUUGUCAUUGCGGUGAUGCACUUAACAGAUUAAGUGUUCCGCCUGGGGAGUACGGUCGCAAGAUUAAAACUCAAAGGAAAUAGACGGGGACCCGCACAAGUGGUGGAGCAUGUGGUUUAAUUCCAAGAUACGCCAAAAACCUUACCUAGCCCUUGACAUUGAUAGAAUACUGUAGAAAUACCGUAAUGCCCCUUCCGGGACUUGAAAACAGGUGCUGCACGGCUGUCCUCA
rnacentral:rRNA from 1 species